GMCGGAAUAGCUCAGUUGAUAGAGCAAGGGACUGAAAAUCCG
rnacentral:tRNA from 1 species